rnacentral:rRNA from 1 species
GAUGAACGCUGGCGGCGUGCCUAAUACAUGCAAGUCGAGCGAACAGACGAGGAGCUUGCUCCUCUGACGUUAGCGGCGGACGGGUGAGUAACACGUGGAUAACCUACCUAUAAGACUGGGAUAACUUCGGGAAACCGGAGCUAAUACCGGAUAAUAUAUUGAACCGCAUGGUUCAAUAGUGAAAGACGGUUUUGCUGUCACUUAUAGAUGGAUCCGCGCCGCAUUAGCUAGUUGGUAAGGUAACGGCUUACCAAGGCAACGAUGCGUAGCCGACCUGAGAGGGGGAUCGGCCACCUUGGAACUGAGACACGGUCCAGACCCCUACGGGGGGCAGCAGUAGGAAAUUUUCCGAAAUGGGCGAAAGUUUGACGGAGAAACGCCGGGGGGGUGAGGAAGGUCUUCGGAUCGUAAAACUCUGUUAUUAGGGAAAAAAAAAUUUGUAAGUAACUAUGCACGUUUUGACGGUACCUAAUCAAAAAGCCACGGCUAACUACGG